UACGAGGGGGGCAAAUGUUGUUCGGAAUCACUGGGCGGAAAGGGAGCGUAGGCGGGUUUCUAAGUCAGGUGUUUAAUCCCGGGGCCCAACCCCGGACAGGCACUUGAAACUGGGAAUCUUGAAUAGUGGAGAGGUCAGUGGAAUUGGGGGUGUAGCGGUGGAAUGCGUAGAGAUCCCCAAGAACACCAGUUGCGAAGGCGGCUGACUGGACACAUAUUGACGCUGAGGCUCGAAAGCAUGGGGAGCAAACAGG
rnacentral:rRNA from 1 species